UACGUAGGGUGCAGGCGUUAAUCGGAAUUACUGGGCGUAAAGCGUGCGCAGGCGGUUUGCUAAGACAGGUGUGAAAUCCCCGGGCUUAACCUGGGAACUGCGCUUGUUACUGGCAGGCUUGAGUGUGGCAGAGGGGGGUGGAAUUCCACGUGGUAGCAGUGAAAUGCGUAGAGAUGUGGAGGAACACCGAUGGCGAAGGCAGCCCCCUGGGCUAACACGUGACGCUCAUGCACGAAAGCGUGGGGGAGCGAAACAGG
rnacentral:rRNA from 1 species